CCCAUUCCCUCCUAAGGUGUUACCUCCAUUCCCACCUAAGGUCUUCCCUCCAAAAAUUCCAAUCUUCAAGAAGCCUCUUCCUCCACCAGUGCCAAUCUACAAGAAGCCUCUCCCUCCACCAGUGCCGGUAUACAAGAAGCCGGUCCCUCCCCCCGUCCCGGUCUACAAGAAGCCUCACCCUCCGCCCGUCCCAAUCUACAAGAAACCUCUCCCUCCACCUGUCCCAGUCUAUAAGAAGCCUAACCCUCCACCAGUCCCAGUAUACAAGAAACCUUACCCUCCACCAACACCAAUCUACAAGAAACCUCUCCCUCCUCCCGUCCCAGUCUAUAAGAAGCCUAACCCUCCACCAGUCCCAGUAUACAAGAAACCUUGCCCUCCACCAAAACCAAUCUACAAGAAACCUCUCCCUCCACCUGUCCCAAUCUAUAAGAAGCCUCUUCCACCACCAGUUCCAGUAUACAAGAAGCCACUUCCACCACUAGUCCCCAUAUACAAGAAGCCAUUUCCACCACCAGUCCCAAUAUACACAAAGCCACUUCCACCACCAAUCCCAAUAUACAAGAAGCCACUUCCACCACUAGUCCCCAUAUACAAGAAGCCACUUCCACCACUAGUCCCCAUAUACAAGAAGCCAUUUCCACCACCAGUCCCAAUAUACACAAAGCCACUUCCACCACCAAUCCCAAUAUACACAAAGCCACUUCCAC
rnacentral:lncRNA from 1 species